rnacentral:lncRNA from 1 species
UUUUUUUAGUUGUAAUCUCUGUCCUGCCUUUUUAUUUUUCACUCUAUUCGGUCCUGCUUUUUUUUUUUUAGUUUAUCCUGACUUUUUUUUUACAUAAAUUGUCAUCCUGCCUUUUUUUUUACUCAAAACUCCUGUCCUGCCUAUUUUUUUCAAAUUUCAUCCUAGCCCCCCCCCCCCCCCCAUAAAAAUCAAAUGGUAGCUCCC